GGGUUGUGAGGUUAAGCGACUAAGCGUACACGGUGGAUGCCCUGGCAGUCAGAGGCGAUGAAGGGCGUGCUAAUCUGCGAUAAGCGCCGGUAAGGUGAUAUGAACCGUUAUAACCGGCGAUACCCGAAUGGGGAAACCCAGUGUGACUCGUCACACUAUCAUUAACUGAAUCCAUAGGUUAAUGAGGCGAACCGGGGGAACUGAAACAUCUAAGUACCCCGAGGAAAAGAAAUCAACCGAGAUUCCCCCAGUAGCGGCGAGCGAACGGGGAGGAGCCCAGAGCCUGAAUCAGCAUGUGUGUUAGUGGAAGCGUCUGGAAAGGCGCGCGAUACAGGGUGACAGCCCCGUACACAAAAGCGCAUGUGCUGUGAGCUCGAUGAGUAGGGCGGGACACGUGGUAUCCUGUCUGAAUAUGGGGGGACCAUCCUCCAAGGCUAAAUACUCCUGACUGACCGAUAGUGAACCAGUACCGUGAGGGAAAGGCGAAAAGAACCCCGGCGAGGGGAGUGAAAAAGAACCUGAAACCGUGUACGUAC
rnacentral:rRNA from 3 species